AAUACGUUCCCGGGCCUUGUACACACCGCCCGUCACACCACGAAAGUCGGCAACACCCGAAGCCGGUGGCCCAACCCCUUGGGGAGGGAGCCGUCGAAGGUGGGACCCGUGAUUGGGGUG
rnacentral:rRNA from 1 species